rnacentral:snRNA from 1 species
GAAGUAUCUCAAUGAGAUACCCAAC